rnacentral:rRNA from 1 species
UAUUAUUUUAGAUGUAAAUUAUUUAAACUUGAGUAGUAGUAGUUAAGGUCUUGAAACUUAAAGAAUUUGGCGGUAUUUUAGUCUAUUUAGAGGAAUCUGUUCCGUAAUCGAUAAUCCGCGUUGGACCUUACUUGAUUUAUUUAGUAUGUAUACCGCCGUUGUUUAAAAUCUUUACAGAGUUUUGUAAUUUUUAUAAUAUUUAUUAUAUAAUUUUUCAGGUCAAGGUGCAGUUUAUAAUCAAGUGGUGAUGGAUUACAAUAUUUUUAGGUAUAUGAAUUUUUACUUUUAAUUUAGUAAAAUGAAAGUGGAUUUAAUAGUAAUAUUAUGAAGAUUGUUAAUGUGAUUUUAGCUCUAAAAUAUGUACACAUCGCCCGUCGCUCUCGUUAUUUUAAGGUGAG